rnacentral:rRNA from 1 species
GAUGAACGCUGGCGGCGUGCUUAACACAUGCAAGUCGAACGGAAAGGCCUGUACUUGUACAGGUACUCGAGUGGCGAACGGGUGAGUACCACGUGGGUGAUCUGCCCUGCACUGGGGGCUAAGCCCGGGAAACUGGGUCUAAUACCUUAUAGGACCACUUCUUGGAUGUUGUGGUGGACAGCUUUUUCGGUGUGGGAUGAGCCUGCGGUCUAUCAGGUUGUUGGUGGGGUGAUGGGCCACCAAGGCGGCGUCGGGUAUCCGGCCUGUGACGGUGUACGGACACAUUGGGACUGAGAUACGGCCCAGACUCCUACGGGAGGCAGCAGUGGGGAAUAUUGCACAAUGGGCGCAAGCCUGAUGCAGCGACGCCGCGGGGGGGAUUACGGCCUUCGGGUUUUAAACUCCUUUCGCUAUCGACGAAGCCACCUUGGGUGGUGACGGUAGGUAGAUGAGAAGCACCGGCUAACUACGUGCCAGCCGCCGCCGUAACAC